UACUGGUUAGCUCAAUCGCUGGAGCGCUCCACUGGGAAUGGAGAGAUCCCUGGUUCGAUACCAAGACCAGGCG
rnacentral:tRNA from 1 species